rnacentral:rRNA from 1 species
UACGUAGGGUGCGAGCGUUGUCCGGAAUUAUUGGGCGUAAAGAGCUCGUAGGCGGUUUGUCGCGUCUGCCGUGAAAGUCCGGGGCUCAACUCCGGAUCUGCGGUGGGUACGGGCAGACUAGAGUGAUGUAGGGGAGACUGGAAUUCCUGGUGUAGCGGUGAAAUGCGCAGAUAUCAGGAGGAACACCAAUAGCGAAGGCAGCUCGCUGGGACGAUACUGACGCUAAGGCGCGAAAGCGUGGGGAGCGAACAGG